rfam:Legionella massiliensis genome assembly, contig: CONTIG000001
GUGGCGGGACAUUUAGUCGGGAACCCUCAGGAAUCCUUACCGUUCGGUAAGGCGAGUUUUUCGGAACUCUAAGUCA